rnacentral:rRNA from 1 species
UCCGUAGCUGGCCGCGCAAGUCCAUCGGGAAAUCCACCUGCUCAACAGGUGGGCGCCCGGUAGAAACUGCGUGGCUUGGGACCGGAAGGCGCGACGGGUACGUCCGGGGUAGGAGUGAAAUCCCGUAAUCCUGGACGGACCGCCGAUGGCGAAAGCACGUCGCGAGAACGGAUCCGACAGUGAGGGACGAAAGCCAGGGUCUCGAACC